GAUGAACGCUGGCGGCGUGCCUAACACAUGCAAGUCGAGCGAGAAAUUUUAAAGCGAAACUUCGGUCUAGCGAUAAAAUGGAAAGCGGCGGACGGGUGAGUAACGCGUAGGCAACCUGCCCUUUACAGAGGGAUAGCCUCGGGAAACCGGGAUUAAAACCUCAUAACGCAUUUUAAACACAUGUUUGAGAUGCCAAAGAUUUAACGGUAAGGGAUGGGCCUGCGUCUGAUUAGCUAGUUGGUAAGGUAACGGCUUACCAAGGCAACGAUCAGUAGCCGACCUGAGAGGGUAAUCGGCCACAUUGGAACUGAGACACGGUCCAAACUCCUACGGGAGGCAGCAGUGGGGAAUAUUGCACAAUGGGCGAAAGCCUGAUGCAGCAACGCCGCGUGAGCGAAGAAGGCCUUUGGGUCGUAAAGCUCUGUCGGAAGGGAAGAAACAAAUGACGGUACCUUCUGAGGAAGCCCCGGCUAACUACGUGCCUGCAGCCGCCGCAGUAA
rnacentral:rRNA from 1 species